AAAAGGGUGACCUUGCCAUCCGUAUCGAUCACGCCACCGGUGUUCUCACUUUCGAUUCCGAUGUCUUCUCCUCUGCCAAAGCCAUGCACCCAGGCUCUGGUGCGGGCUCUGCCGAAAGCGAGACUCGUUCUGUCCAACGACUUCAGAGCACCCCUGCUGAGAUCGUUCGUUCGCAGAUGACUCGCCUCGCAAAGUCUCUUUUUG
rnacentral:misc_RNA from 1 species